GUGGGGAAUAUUGGACAAUGGGCGCAAGCCUGAUCCAGCCAUACCGCGUGGGUGAAGAAGGCCUUCGGGUUGUAAAGCCCUUUUGUUGGGAAAGAAAUCCUGUCGGUUAAUACCUGGCGGGGACGACGGUACCCAAAGAAUAAGCACCGGCUAACUUCGUGCCAGCAGCCGCGGUAAUACGAAGGGUGCAAGCGUUACUCGGAAUUACUGGGCGUAAAGCGUGCGUAGGUGGUGGUUUAAGUCCGUUGUGAAAGCCCUGGGCUCAACCUGGGAAUUGCAUUGGAUACUGGAUCACUAGAGUGUGGUAGAGGGAUGCGGAAUUUCUGGUGUAGCAGUGAAAUGCGUAGAGAUCAGAAGGAACAUCCGUGGCGAAGGCGGCAUCCUGGGCCAACACUGACACUGAGGCACGAAAGCGUGGGGAGCAAACAGGAUUAGAAACCCGUGUAGUCC
rnacentral:rRNA from 1 species